rnacentral:lncRNA from 1 species
AAGGUACUGAAGUAGAGUUCUGGCUGUUCCUUACGGACAUCUCUGGUGAAUAAUCUGAGAAGGCCUCACUUAUAAUUUGGCUUGAAGAAAACACGAGAGCAAGUCAUGCAAUGUUCAAGUAAGAGUGCAGCAGUCAGAAGAAAAAGCUAUGCAAGGGCCCUAAGGUUGAAAGUGUUCUUAGUGUCUUUGAGAAACAUCAAGGAAUGUGCAAAAGGCAGAAUGAUAGAAGAUGAGAUCAGAGAGGGGAAGUAAAUUCAACAACAGAAAUUGAGGAUGAGGAACAUGGUGUUGCAGUUCAAACCAGUUCCAGCCAAAAUGGACUCUAGUCACAAACAAAUAGUAAUAACAAUCCAAACUUGUGGCUGAAUAGAGUUCUGAAGUUUUGAGAAAGAGAAAUUUUAGAGACACAGACAAAGGGAAAUAAGGCCAUGUGGUGGAGGCAGAGAUUGGAGUUAUGCAGCCACAAGCCAAAGAAGGCCAAGAAUUGCCAACAACUACCGGAAGCUAGAAGUGACAAGGAAGCAUUCUUCCCUAGAGCCCUUGGAGAGAUCGUGGCCCUGCAACAUCUUAAAGUUAGGACUUCCAGCUUCCAGAAAUGUGAGAGAAUAAAUUU